UUCUUCGGGGCGGGGCGUAAUUCCCCACCGGCGGUAUAGUCCGCGACCUGUCAUGGACCCCCAUGGCGGCUGAUCUGGUGCAAUUCCAGAACCGACAGUAUAGUCUGGAUGAGAGAAGGA
rnacentral:ncRNA from 1 species